rnacentral:rRNA from 1 species
GGCCGCGACCGAUCAGGUUGUUGGUGAGGUAAUGGCUCACCAAGCCUUUUACCGGUGCGGGCCGUGGGAGCGGGAGCCCGGAGAUGGGCACUGAGACAAGGGCCCAGGCCCUACGGGGCGCAGCAGUCGCGAAAACUUUGCAAUAAGCGAAAGCUUGACAGGGCUAUCCCGAGUGCCAUCCGCUGAGGAAGGCUUUUACCCAGUCUAGAACGCUGGGGGAAUAAGGAGAGGGCAAGUCUGGUGUCAGCCGCCGCGGUAAUACCAGCUCUCCGAGUGGUGUGGAUGUUUAUUGGGCCUAAAGCAUCCGUAGCUGGCUAAGUUAGUCCCCUGUUAAAUCCACCGAAUUAAUCGUUGGAUUGCGGGGGAUACUGCUUGGCUAGGGGACGAGAGAGGCAGACGGUAUUCCCGGGGUAGGGGUGAAAUCCUAUAAUCCCGAGAAGACCACCAGUGGCGAAGGCUGUCUGCUAGAACGCGCCCGACGGUGAGGGAUGAAAGCUGGGGGAGCGAACCGGAUUAGAUACCCGGGUAGUCCCAGCUGUAAACGAUGCAGACUAGGUGUUUGGACGGCCACGUGCCGUUCUAGUGCCGCAGGGAAGCUGUUAAGUCUGCCGCCUGGGG